GAGACUCUUAGAUAAUGACAUAUGGGCCCCCCAUAAAAUAACCAAACUUACCACAAAUGUCUCAUAAUAGACUCUUUAUAUACAUCAAGGAUUGAAUAAAUAUUACCACAAAUCAUUUUAUUUUUAAUCAACACAUAUUUAAUCUUUCAACAAUUAUUAAUCAUUUAUAACUUGUCGUCUCAAUUAUUGAUUUAAUAAUAUAACAUAUUAUAC
rnacentral:lncRNA from 1 species